rnacentral:siRNA from 1 species
GGACAUGACCAAUGGGCUUUGGAC